GAUGAACGCUGGCGGCGUGCCUAAUACAUGCAAGUCGAGCGAACAGACGAGGAGCUUGCUCCUCUGAUGUUAGCGGCGGACGGGUGAGUAACACGUGGAUAACCUACCUAUAAGACUGGGAUAACUUCGGGAAACCGGAGCUAAUACCGGAUAAUAUAUUGAACCGCAUGGUUCAAUAGUGAAAGACGGUUUUGCUGUCACUUAUAGAUGGAUCCGCGCCGCAUUAGCUAGUUGGUAAGGUAACGGCUUACCAAGGCAACGAUGCGUAGCCGACCUGAGAGGGUGAUCGGCCACACUGGAACUGGGACACGGUCCAGAGUCCUACGGGAGGCAGCAGUAGGGAAUCUUCCGCAAUGGGCGAAAGCCUGACGGAGCAACGCCGCGUGAGUGAUGAAGGUCUUCGGAUCGUAAAACUCUGUUAUUAGGGAAGAACAAAUGUGUAAGUAACUAUGCACGUCUUGACGGUACCUAAUCAGAAAGCCACGGCUAACUACGUG
rnacentral:rRNA from 1 species